rnacentral:rRNA from 1 species
UACGAAGGGGGCUAGCGUUGCUCGGAAUCACUGGGCGUAAAGCGCACGUAGGCGGAUUGUUAAGUCAGGGGUGAAAUCCUGGAGCUCAACUCCAGAACUGCCUUUGAUACUGGCGAUCUUGAGUCCGGGAGAGGUGAGUGGAACUGCGAGUGUAGAGGUGAAAUUCGUAGAUAUUCGCAAGAACACCAGUGGCGAAGGCGGCUCACUGGCCCGGUACUGACGCUGAGGUGCGAAAGCGAUGGGGAGCAAACAGGGGAUUAAGUG